rnacentral:tRNA from 2 species
GCAAGGGUAGCCAAGCUUGGCCAACGGCGUAAGAUUCAGGGUCUUAUCCUUAGUGGUUCAGGGGUUCAAAUCCCUUCCCUUGCACCA